UGCCCAGCGUUGUCUUCUCCCCACCAAGGUGGAGGACCUGCUGCCCCCCGUCUUCUCGGUGACCCCCAAGGGGAGCGGGGCCGGCUACGGGGUCGGCUUCGACCUGGAGGAGUUCCUGAGCCAAUCGUUGGACAUGGUGGGGGACAACAAGGACAGCCAAGGCGAUUCGGCGCCGCUCUCGGCCUCGCUCCUCGCCGAUUGGCUGGAGGUCCACCGCCUCAGCCCGGCCGCCCUCGAGAGCCUCCAGCGCGACCUCCAGCUCGGCUCCCCCAUGCUCCUCUCCGACGACCUCCCUGAGCCUUAAGGGGGGGGGGCGCGACGGGACCCCCCCCCCCCCCCCCCCCCCCCCCCCCCCCCCCCCCCCCCAAACUUUGUAAGGAAACCACGCUCCGGUUUUGUGCCCCCCGUGGAUCUAUAGGGGCUAUAGGGGGGCUAUGGGGCUCUUUGGGGUUGUUGUUGACCUCUAUGGCCCUAUAGGGGCUAUAGGGGGGCUAUGGGGCUCUNUCUUUGGGGUUGUUGUUGACCUCUAUGGCCCUAUAGGGGCUGCAGGGGGGCUUUGGGGCUCUGUGGGGUCAUCGUUGACCUCUAUGGACCUAUAGGGGCUAUAAGGGGGCUUCAGGGUUCUGUGGGGCCAUCAUUGGCCUCUAUGGACCUAUAGGGGCUAUAAGGGGGCUUCAGGGUUCUGUGGGGCCAUCAUUGGCCUCUAUGGACCCAUAGGGGCUAUCGGGGGGCUAUGGGGCUCUGUGGGGUCGUCGUUGAACUCUAUGGCCCUAUAGGGGCUAUGGGGGGGGUGUGGGGCAUCUGUGGGGUUGUCAUUGAAUUCUGUGGCCCUAUAGCGGGGGUUUGGGGCUCUGUGGGGCCGUCGUUGACCUCUAUGGACCCAUAGGGGCUGUAGGGGGGGCUAUACAAGCUUGUAGGGACCCCACGGCAGCUCUAGGGACCUAUGGGAACUAUAGGGGGCCACUCUGGGAAUAAGAGGAAGCUGUAGGAAUGUCAGGGGGGGGUAUAGAAACCCCAUAGCCACCCUGGGAGCCUUCUGGGCAUUAUAGGAAGCUAUAGGGGCACUGGGGGAGCUAUAGGGGCACUAGGGGAGCUAUAGGGGCUAUAGGGAGCUGCAGGGACACUGGGAGAGCUAUAGGGCCUCGCUGGCUGCUGGGAGAAGCUAUAGGGACCGUAUAGGAGCCAUAGGGACCCUUUCGGGCACCGGUAACAACCCAUAUUUGCGUGUGUGUCCCCCCCCCCCC
rnacentral:lncRNA from 1 species